CACUGGACUUACAGUAAAAAGACCUGAAUUCUACUUUUGUCUAAAUUAGCUAAACACUAUAAGAUACUGACUCAUUGCUAUUCACUGAAUGUUUAUGCCUGUCCAAAUUCCUGUGUUGAAAUCCUAACCUCCCUUGUGAUGCUAUUUGGAGGUAGAGCCUUUGGAAGCUAAUCGGAUCAUGAGGGUAGAGCCUUCAGGAAUAAGACUGGUACCCUUGUAAAGAAAUUACAGAAAGUUCUCUUGCCCCUUUAACCUUGUGAGGACACAGCAAGAAGGGGCCAUUUAUGGAACAGGAGGUGGUCCUCACCAGACACCGAAUCUGUCAGUGCCUCAACCUUGGUCUUCCCAGCCUACAUAAAUUUGAGAAUAAAUUCUGCUGUUGGUUUGGAAUCACUGAUGUGAGAGAAAGAAUCUGCAUCACCUUGAAAUGGGAACUGUGGAAGUUUGAAUUUAAAGUACAUGGCAGAAGACAUGUCUAAGCAGUAAAGAAUUCAAGAAGUGACCUGGCUGCUUCUAACAACAUAACUCAAGGUGGAAGCAAUGCAAUGACUUAAAGAUUGAAGUUCUAUUUAAAGGAGAAGCAGAGCAGAAAAGUUUGGAAAUUUUCAGCCUAGUCAUGUGAUAUGGUUUGGCUCUGUGUCCCCACCUAAAUCUCAUGUCGAGUUGUAAUCCCCAUGUGUCAGGGGAGCCACAUGGUGGGAGGUGAUUGGAUCAUUGAUGUGGAUUUCCCCCUUGCUGUUCUCAUGAUAGUGAGUUCUCAUGAGAUCUGUCUCUCUCUCUUCUGCCUCUAUGUGAAGAAGGUGCUUGCUUCCCCUUCACCUUCCACCAUGAUUGUAAGUUUCCUGAGGCCUCCCAAUCAUGCUUCCUGUUAAGCCUGUGGAACUGUUAGUCAAUUAAACCUUCUUUCUUCAUAAAUUAUCCAGUCUCAUCUAGUUCCUUAUAGCAGAGUGAAAGCAAACUAAUACACCAUGUGGCAAAGAAAGAAAAAACUUCUUUGGGAGAGGAAUCCAAGCAGGCUGCAGAGCAACCACUUGCCAGAGAGAUUCAUAUGUUUCAUAGAGAGACAGACGCUGAUAGACAGGACAAUGAGAAAAGGCAUUUUACAGAUCUACAAACCAAUCUCUCCUAAAACAGACCCAGAGGUAUAGGAGAAAAGAAUGGUUUAGAGGGCAGGCCUUGCUUCCCAGCACCACUGCAGGAGGAUGCUACUUGUAUCCAGGUCUCUCCAACCUCAGCUCAAAGAGGCUUAAAUACGUUUUGAGCUGCUGCUUAAAAGGGUAGAAGCUGUAAGCAUUGGUGGCUUCAAUGUGAUGUUAAUCUUGCAGGUGUUUAGAUGUAAGAAUGAAGGAGGCUUGGCAGCUUAUCCCUAGAUUUCAGAGGAUCUAUGAGAAAGCCUGAGUGCCCAGGAAGAAAUCUCCUGCAGGGGUAGAGGCCUUUCAAAGAACCUCUAUUAGGGCAUCAUGGAGGGGGAAUGCAGGGCUGGAACGCCCACAUAGAAUUGUCACCAUGGUACUGCCUAGUGGACCUAUGGGAAUGCUGCUAUUUCCAGACCCAAGAAUGGUAGAGCCAAUGGAAGCCUGCAAUUUGAAUAUGGAAAUGGCACAGACACCCAACUCCAACUCAUGAAAGGAGCCACAGGGUAUACACCCUGCACAGCCACAGGGUUGGAGCUGUCCAAGACCUUGGGAACCCACCCCUUGCACCAGUGGUUGCAAUGUGGGACUUGGAGCCAAAGGAGAUUUCUUGGAGCUUUAAGAUUUAAUGACUACUCUGCUGGGUUUCAGACUUGCAUCGGGUCUGCAGCCCCUUUAUUUUGGCCAAUUUCUCCCUUUUGGAAUGAGAAUGUUUACCAAAUGCCUAUAACCCCAUUGUAUCUUGGAAGUAAUAACUUGAUUUUUAUUACACAGGCUUGGAAGGAACUCAUCUACAGAGGAGGCUUUAGACUUGGGAAUUGGAACUUGAGACUUUAAAUUUAGUUGAUGCUGUAAUGCUUUAAGACUUUGGGGGAUUAUUUGAAAGGAGUGGAAUGAUAUUGUUUGAAUAUUUGUCCCCUCCACAUUUCAUGUAAAAGUGUAAUCCUCAAUUUAGGAAGUGGGGCCUGGUGAGAAGUGUUUGGAUUAUUGGGGGUAAAACACUCAUGAAUAGCUUGGUGCUGUUCUUAUGAUAGUGAGUAAAUUCUCAUGAGACCUGGUUGUUGAAAACUGUGUAGUACAUCCCCCAACCUUGCUCCUGCUCUUGCCAUGUGACAUUCUGGCUCCCUGUCACCUUUCAUAAAGAGUGUAAUCUUUGUGAGGUGUCACCAGAAGCACAUGCUGGUACCAUGCUUCCUGUAAAGACUGCAGAACCAUGAGUCAAGUAAACUUAUUUUCUUUGUAUAUUAGCCAGUCUCAGGUAUUCCUUUAUAGUAUCACAAACAGAGCAAUACAAGGACUUCCUUUUUAAUCACAUUGAUAAAUUUAUUCUAGAAACACUUAUUUAGUUAUGAUUAUUUGGGAUUCAACCGUAUACAUAAUUGUAUGUUCUGCCCUCUUAGAUAUUCCAUUCUAGUAAACAAAACAGACACAUAAACAAGGAAAUGAUGGUAUGUGGAAUAAAGUGUUAUAAAGGAAACAAAGAUAGCUGUCAGAUAGACAUAACAUGGAUGUAAUUUUUGAGAUGAAAACUUUAGUUAAUGUUAAUAGGAAAGCCACUCUGUGGAGGUGGCAUUUAAGUUGAAACCUAAAAAGAAAAAAGGCGUGACUAGGAAUUAAUGGUUAAAUUUCACUGUCCCUUUCUUUAAAUCGGACUGUAAGAGAAAUUG
rnacentral:lncRNA from 1 species